UUCCUUCUACCCGUGCCCUAAGUCUUCCCCCACCGCAUACUUCUCCCGAGUUCUUUUCUUCUUUCCCAUUUGGCCAACAUCCUCUUCUCCUCUCUCGAUCGAGCCAUCGAUCCCCCGCCGCAUCACCUCCUCCCCCUCUUCAUCGUCGACCUUUACCGAGCCACUCCCAUGACUUCUCCUCCCUUGCAUAGUCGCUUGACGCCAAGCCACACGAUGGUUCACCGGAGCAGCCUCGACCCUCAUCGCCACCCUGCUCCAUAGAAUCGUGUGACGCUAUCAGCCGAUCGUCGUCCACGCGAGUGCCACGGACAUUGCUCUACCGCCGGCGACUACCGUCCUUCUCAAGUUUUCCUCGGCGGAGGCUGAUCCUCAGUCAAGAGGGGAACCUAUGCCUAUCAUCAAUCCUUUGAAGUUGCUCCGAGGGGCCUGCAGCUCUGACCACAGGAACCCUUUGUUCCAACUGAUGGGUGUUCGAGACCGGGCUCUCGUAUCCUAGAUUUCUCCUUGCUGCACCAUACCCUAAUUUUCUAAUGCCACUAGCUACCUGCCCAGAUCUUAGCAGUGAACAACGGUUUGCCUUGCUGUGAGUAGGAGCUGUCAACCCUAGUUGUCGACUUUUUGUUGCCUACUGUUAUUGCUGGAGAUGAACAGAAUUUGGAUAAGUUUAGUUCAAAGGUUAUUGAAUUCAGUCAAAAUUUGGAUUACAAGGUUAAUUAAUAUGAUUCAUUGUUUGGAUUGUUAGGUUUGCAAGGGAAGGAGUUAGCGAAUAGUAGUGGAUCGUUGCUGCUGGUUGUGAGCCACAUUUAGUGACACCUAGUGCCAGACUUGGGGGUAAGUCAUGUAGAAAUUUGAUUUAUUUUCUACAUUGGGUUUGAUAAAUGAAUUGAUGGUGGGGUUGAGUUAGUGGAGAUAUGAAGUUGUUUGUAUUCAUGGAUUAAAUGAUUUGUUAUUUGAUUAUGGCGCUAGGUUUGGUUAUAUAUGAAUUUAUGUUGAAUUGACUUGUUAGUGAAUGGUUUUCUAUAUGAAUCAAUUAAAGAGUUGAUAAGGUUGGGUUAAAUCUAAUUUAACCAAUGGAUUUGGGUGAGUAUUGCAGUGAUUUAUACAUAGGGUUAAACCCAAUUGAGUGGUGAAAAUAGUUAGGAUUGUUUAAUCUAUUGGAUAUUGGACUUGAUUAGUUGAUAAGAGUAUUUUAAGCUUGACAUUGAUUAAUCUAAAAGAUGUUUGUGUUAAUUGAGGAGUAAUUGAUACAUGAUUGAUUAUGUUAGUUGGAUUGAUAGUUUAUAUCUUGAUGGAUAGUUGACGCAUGUUAACAAGAAGGGUUAACUAAUUGAAUUGGAUUGAAUCAUAAGGGAAUUAGUCGUGAAAGUAGUGUUGGAUCAGUAAAUGGAAUUAAAAUGUCGAUUUAUAAUCAGAUUAGGAUUAGGAUUAACUAGUUGGCUUAUGAUAGAACUUAGCGGUACUAUGUAUACUGUGUUGUAGGAUACUAUUCGGAGACACAUCUCGACGUGCCAUUAUUUAGCACGAUCAACAGAUAAAGGUAGCAAGUAAAAGACUUACGGAGUCGUUUGGAGAACCUGCACGCCAGUCCCACGUCACAUUCGAGGACAAUCUUAUGGUUUUUGGUAUUUCUUACGCUAUUUGUGUUUUGGUUUGUACUUGAUCUUAUAUUUGUGUAUUCUUUUAUAUGGAGUUUUGUUUGUGGUAUCUUGUAUUUGGUUUGGGGAUGAUGUGUCAAGCCGAGCCGGCUCGCAAUUAGUUGUAUUGUGGUUUUCUUUUUCGUGA